UUCCCCCAGUAGCGGCGAGCGAACGGGGAGCAGCCCAGAGCCUGAAUCAGUGUGUGUGUUAGUGGAAGCGUCUGGAAAGGCGCGCGAUACAGGGUGACAGCCCCGUACACAAAAAUGCACAUGCUGUGAGCUCGAUGAGUAGGGCGGGACACGUGGUAUCCUGUCUGAAUAUGGGGGGACCAUCCUCCAAGGCUAAAUACUCCUGACUGACCGAUAGUGAACCAGUACCGUGAGGGAAAGGCGAAAAGAACCCCGGCGAGGGGAGUGAAAAAGAACCUGAAACCGUGUACGUACAAGCAGUGGGAGCACGCUUAGGCGUGUGACUGCGUACCUUUUGUAUAAUGGGUCAGCGACUUAUAUUCUGUAGCAAGGUUAACCGAAUAGGGGAGCCGAAGGGAAACCGAGUCUUAACUGGGCGUUAAGUUGCAGGGUAUAGACCCGAAACCCGGUGAUCUAGCCAUGGGCAGGUUGAAGGUUGGGUAACACUAACUGGAGGACCGAACCGACUAAUGUUGAAAAAUUAGCGGAUGACUUGUGGCUGGGGGUGAAAGGCCAAUCAAACCGGGAGAUAGCUGGUUCUCCCCGAAAGCUAUUUAGGUAGCGCCUCGUGAAUUCAUCUCCGGGGGUAGAGCACUGUUUCGGCAAGGGGGUCAUCCCGACUUACCAACCCGAUGCAAACUGCGAAUACCGGAGAAUGUUAUCACGGGAGACACACGGCGGGUGCUAACGUCCGUCGUGAAGAGGGAAACAACCCAGACCGCCAGCUAAGGUCCCAAAGUCAUGGUUAAGUGGGAAACGAUGUGGGAAGGCCCAGACAGCCAGGAUGUUGGCUUAGAAGCAGCCAUCAUUUAAAGAAAGCGUAAUAGCUCACUGGUCGAGUCGGCCUGCGCGGAAGAUGUAACGGGGCUAAACCAUGCACCGAAGCUGCGGCAGCGACACUAUGUGUUGUUGGGUAGGGGAGCGUUCUGUAAGCCUGUGAAGGUGUACUGUGAGGUAUGCUGGAGGUAUCAGAAGU
rnacentral:rRNA from 1 species